CUGCUGGGUUGUUAGUCGAAAGCUCAGCAGUUCGAAUCCACAUAAUGGGGUGUGCUACCGUUACUUUGUCCAAGCUCCUGCCAGCCUAGCAGUUCGAAAGCAUGAAAAUGCAAGUUGAUAAAUUGGUACCACUUUGGUGGGAAGGUAACAGUGUUCUAUGCGCCUUGGCAUUUAGUCAUGCCAGCCACAUGACCAUGGAAACUGUCUGCAGACAAAUGCUGGCUCCCUUGGGGGAACUGUGUCUUGUCUGCCACUGGGUUUAAAUGCCUUUACAAGGCUUUAUGACCAGGGCAGGUUCCACGUGAAAGGAUACUGAUGACUACAUACAGGUUUGAACCUAGUUUACAUCAGAUGCCAAGAUUUUACAUAUAGAUAUCAUUUGCUAUGUAAGAAAUUAUCAGUCUAACAACCAAAUAGUUUGCUAUUGUGGUUAACAUCUACAUUUUAUUGAAAGGUAUAGAAAUAUUUUUAUUCUCAUAAAUAAAAUUAUUUAUUUAUUCUCAUAUAUGUCAUAAGAAUAUGUCAUAUUCUUAUGACAUAUGAAAACUAGCAAUGGUUAUUUGUCAAAAAUCAGGCAGAAGCUAAACAUAUAGCUGAACUUGAGCCUGUUCAUACAUAAUGAUGGCACUCAUUAAAUACCAAUUACAUAUGAGCCAAGUCUGUGUCUCAAUCUGCACUUCCUUCAGUGCGCUGCUUGACCUACCUCUUUAAGCAUUACAAAGCCAUACUAAUGUUAAAUACUUCUGUUUUCUGCUUCUAUGAGAACAAACGUGCCAUUCCGCGAACAUUACAUCCCAAUGUCCCUUUCAAGAACAAAAGGUUUAAAAAAGAUUAAGAGGAAAGUUAAGGAGCUCAGAAAAUCAUUUCUAACCCAAAAUGGUUGGAGAAACAACUGAAGCUCAGAAGACUGAGGACACUGACUUCCUUGUGGCAUGCUGACCCUUUACUUUCUUCAUAAGGGGCAGAAGGACCAAGGGGAAGUACAGAUACAUAGAACCGUUUCUUUCUAGUAAGGAGAAAAAAAAAACCCAAAAAAGUAAUGGGAGAAACCUGAGAGGCCUACAAGCUAAAGAUGUCAUCAUCUGGAUUUUCUAUAAAAUUCCAUGAACAAGACACUGCAAUUUCACAAUUAAAGCUUAGUAAUGAAACAACUUCCUUGUAAGUGCAAAAAAAUGCACAUCAAAGAAAAACCAAACCCUAUACCAGAAAUAUACUGAAAGAGUCUGAAAUGGUUGUUACUAUACAUAAAAAGAUAUUAGAUUGUA